rnacentral:tRNA from 1 species
AAUAAAGUAAGCUAAUAGAAAGCUGUUGGGUUCAUACCCCAAAAAUAGAUAAAUAUAAAUUCUCUUUAUUA